CCGCCUCCAGCUUGUAGGCGCCGCUGCUGCUCGCCGGCGACGUGGCGCUCUUGGGCAGCGGCUGCAGCGCGUGCUCCGGCCGCUCGGCCUCCAUGGCGAAGCUGACGGGCCGCAGGAAGCAGAUGUCCAGGCUGGACUCGGAGGAGGCGGGCGAGCAGUUCUCGAAGAGGGCCGGCGCCUGGAAGGGCUCCUCGUCGUAGGGCGCGGGCAGCGCGAAGAUCUCGCCGCCAUACUCGAACUCCUCGUAGGCCGAGGGCGCGAAGCCGCGGGCGUCGGGCAGCAGCUCGGCCGGGGCGCGCAGGGAGCGCUCCACGUUCCCCAGCGAGGGCUCGGCGGGCGAAGGCUCGAAGUCCAUCUCCGGGAUGGACUGCAGGGGCCCCGAGAGCGCCUUCACGUCCUGCUCGGCGGGGCAGAACUGCGCCGGCGCCAGGAGGCUCUCGGGCCUCUCGUGCUUCCGGCCCUCCAUCUCCCAGUCGCCGGGCUUCCCGGGCUGCAUGCCGUCCAUCAGGCUUUGCUGCUGUUGGCUUUUCUUCAUGGGGGGCAUCAAAUGCCUUUAAAGGGGAAACGGUACAAGAGAGGCGUGCUGACGGUUAGCGUGGGCCUCUCGCCGAGCAGCGCAGGCCGGGGGCAACGCGAAGCCUGACGCCGCUGAGGUGCAAAACGGCCAGCUCUCCUCGCUGCCCCUCCCAAGCACCUGUAGGUGUUACCUGCCAAGCCCCCAGGAGCCCUGGCCCCUGCACGCAGGAGAGUGAAAAGGAAGUAUCCGCCUGAGCACGGAGGCACGGCGGGGAGAUGGCUGGUGGGCCAAGGAUGCUCAUCACUCCCCACUUCGAAGCCCUGAACCCCCGCACCACGUGUCAGGGCCCCAAGGAAUAAAUCUCCAAGGACUCCUUGGCGUGGCCAUUUCAGGACCCUUUCCUGCAGAGCAUGAAGCAAAUCUAGGUGCUGCUGGACAAGGUACCGUAAAGAGCCAGGGAAGAGGCUUGAAACAGAAGAGAGACAGGAUCACACAAAACAGGUGAGCACAUCAAGUACCUGUAGCACUAGGAAGAAAGUACAGAAAGAGAUGGAAAGGGCCAAAGACAGUGUCAGCUUUUGGAACUUGUCCCCCUUGGCCCUGAUGAUGGUAAGUUGCAGAAAGGAAGGAGUAAGUGAG